GGGGAUGAUCGGCCUCGAUAGUGGUGCUACUCAUUAUAUUGUGCGAAGCGGAAGUGGAUGACUUCCUAAAAACAUCCAAAACGAUACGUGCAAAGUCACUAUCAAAGGCAGUUCUCUCACCUUUCCAGAUGGGAGACUUCCAGUUCGCUUACGCUGUUUAAGGCUUUACGCCCCUGCCUACGGCAGGCAGGUAAGCGACCGUCAGCAUCUCCGACAUCCGAUACGAUUUGCUGACGUCAUACAUUUCGGGUCGCUCGUAUUCCCCGCACAGGGAUUACGCUAAGCACUGUGCUCGAUGUAUUCCGAUUCUGUUCAUCUCAUACGGCAUACAUUUAAAUCCUUAAGAUGAACUAGGCCUCGUAGACUCAUAUAGUGACACACUUCUGGACGGCGGUUCGAUUCCG
rnacentral:tmRNA from 1 species